rnacentral:piRNA from 1 species
UUCAGUUUGUUGGAGCUCUCCUAUCAGAG